UACGGAGGGGGCUAGCGUUAUUCGGAAUUACUGGGCGUAAAGCGCACGUAGGCGGCUUUGUAAGUUAGAGGUGAAAGCCCGGGGCUCAACCCCGGAAUUGCCUUUAAGACUGCAUCGCUUGAAUCCAGGAGAGGUGAGUGGAAUUCCGAGUGUAGAGGUGAAAUUCGUAGAUAUUCGGAAGAACACCAGUGGCGAAGGCGGCUCACUGGACUGGUAUUGACGCUGAGGUGCGAAAGCGUGGGGAGCAAACAGG
rnacentral:rRNA from 1 species